UUAACAGCGUUAGAGUCUGAAAUCCUCUGCAUAAAACAGGUGUAGCAUGGGCAGCAACAAUGCCUGCUUCCUCUCAUUUUCAUGCCCCUGGCUCAACCACGUUCUGGAGGGACCACCUGUAGAGUGAGGGGAUAAUUCAGUUUCUGUGCAUAGUAGAUCAUUGGACUCU
rnacentral:sRNA from 1 species